GUACGAACGCUGGCGGCGUGCUUAACACAUGCAAGUCGAGCGGUAAGGCCUUUCGGGGUACACGAGCGGCGAACGGGUGAGUAACACGUGGGUGACCUGCCUUUAGCUUCGGGAUAAGCCCUGGGAAACCGGGUCUAAUACCGGAUAUGACCUCAUGUCGCAUGGUGUGGGGUGGAAAGUUCCUUCGGCUAGAGAUGGGCCCCGCGGCCUAUCAGCUUGUUGGUGGGGUGAUGGCCUACCAAGGCGACGACGGGUAGCCGGCCUGAGA
rnacentral:rRNA from 1 species